GCAAACCCAUCCACCAACCUGUCGAUAUAAUCUCAGCAAACGCACGCUAUACUCCCUUCCCAUCUACCUUCCUCAAAGGAGCCAUCCACGUUCACCUUCAACUCACUGCUAUUUGGAGGCUUCCAUUCCUCAGAGUCCACUACCUUCGACGGCUCAGGAACUCGUGUUUUAAAAACAAAAUCGUUCCUUGCUCUUUCCACAUCUCCUUAAGCACAGACGCCAAUCGCUCCGAUGAAGGUGAGUUUCCCGUCCUCCUAACUUGAUUAAGUAGCCAAAUUUCAAAGUGGUCUAGCCCCUGCUCUGUUAUUUCCACUUGUAGGUCUGGGUGUCGCCAAAUGCCUUUCGUCCAAUUGCACAGCAGAAAGAUAUGUUCAAUAGUUUUUGGGCUUUGCCGACAGAGAGGACACACAGGUUCAAGCAAGUGAGAUGGCUGAGGCAAGCAACAACUAAGAAGGCUCGAUUUCAAGAUGCAUCAACUAGUGACAACUAUUGAAACCAGCAGUGAAGAAGGAUCCAAAACCACGUCAGGAUAGUGGCGUGAUUAAAUGGUAUGCCGUAGGGUAAAAGUGGAAGCACAGAGUCAUAGGGUGUUGAAGACGAUGGAGGAUUGAAGGGGCAGUAGAUAAAGAGGAAAAACUCUCAGAUCGUAAUCGAGAGAGGAAGCUCCCAUAGCAGGGAGAGAGAAGCUCCCAUUAGG